UUUAAAGCCUUGGAGUCAAAAAACAGAACGAGAAUUCAGGAGGGAAUUACAGGGCCUCAUCUAGGAAGGACAGGAGAACCAGAUGAACUUCAAGCCCUUCCUGCAGUGCGUUUAAUGAAGAAGUGCUCAUUAAGCAGAGCGAUGAGGACUCAGAACUAAUAUCAGAGUGGUAGAGAUGAUACAUCUGGAAAAAGUUUUGUGGAAAAGGUAACUGUCUGCACUGUGUUCACC
rnacentral:lncRNA from 1 species